rnacentral:rRNA from 1 species
GAUGAACGCUGGCGGCGUGCCUAAUACAUGCAAGUCGAGCGAACAGACGAGGAGCUUGCUCCUCUGACGUUAGCGGCGGACGGGUGAGUAACACGUGGAUAACCUACCUAUAAGACUGGGAUAACUUCGGGAAACCGGAGCUAAUACCGGAUAAUAUAUUGAACCGCAUGGUUCAAUAGUGAAAGACGGUUUUGCUGUCACUUAUAGAUGGAUCCGCGCCGCAUUAGCUAGUUGGUAAGGUAACGGCUUACCAAGGCAACGAUGCGUAGCCGACCUGAGGGGGUGAUCGGCCACACUGGAACUGAGACACGGUCCAGACUCCUACGGGAGGCAGCAGUAGGGAAUCUUCCGCAAUGGGCGAAAGCCUGACGGAGCAACGCCGCGUGAGUGAUGAAGGUCUUCGGAUCGUAAAACUCUGUUAUGAGGGAAGAACAAAUGUGUAAGUAACUAUGCACGUCUUGACGGUACCUAAUCAGAAAGCCACGGCUAACUACGUG